rnacentral:rRNA from 1 species
GUGCCAGCCGCCGCGGUAAUACCGGCAGCUCAAGUGAUGUCCAAUAUUAUUGGGCCUAAAGCGUCCGUAGCUGGCCGCACAAGUCUGUCGGGAAAUCCACCUGCUCAACAGGUGGGCGUCCGGCGGAAACUGUGUGGCUUGGAACCGGAAGGCUCAGAGGGUACGUCCGGGGUAGGAGUGAAAUCCCGUAAUCCCGGACGGACCACCGAUGGCGAAAGCACUCUGAGAAGACGGCUUCGACAGUGAGGGACGAAAGCUAGGGUCUCAAACCGGAUUAGAAACCCCAGUAGUCC